rnacentral:rRNA from 1 species
GACGAACGCUGGCGGCGUGCCUAACACAUGCAAGUCGAGCGGGGAUGACAGCAAUGUCGUCUCAGCGGCGGGCGGGUGAGUAACACGUGGGUAACCUGCCUCUAUCCGGGGGAUAACAUCGGGAAACCGGUGCUAAUACCGCAUAACAUCGCAUCGCCGCAUGGCGGAGCGAUCAAAGGAGCGAUCCGGGAAGAGAUGGACCCGCGCCCGAUUAGAUAGUUGGUGGGGUAACGGCCUACCAAGUCUGCGAUCGGUAGCCGGACUGAGAGGUUGAUCGGCCACAUUGGGACUGAGAUACGGCCCAGACUCCUACGGGGGGCAGCAGUGGGGAAUAUUGCACAAUGGGGGAAACCCUGAUGCAGCAACGCCGCGUGAAGGAUGAAGGUUUUCGGAUUGUAAACUUCUUUGACCGGGGACGAAGUUCUGACGGUACCCGGAAAACAAGCCACGGCUAACUCUGUGCCAGCCGCCGCGGUAAUAC